CAGCCUGAUGCAGCCAUGCCGCGUGUAUGAAGAAGGCCUUCGGGUUGUAAAGUACUUUCAGCGGGGAGGAAGGGAGUAAAGUUAAUACCUUUGCUCAUUGACGUUACCCGCAGAAGAAGCACCGGCUAACUCCGUG
rnacentral:rRNA from 1 species